UCCUGGGUGGUGGAUAUGGUUAAGCACUUGGCUACUAACCUAAAGGUUGGUGGUUCAAAUCCACCCUGAAGAA
rnacentral:tRNA from 1 species